CAAUAGCGUAUAUUAAAGUUGUUGCAGUUAAAAAGCUCGUAGUUGGAUUUGUGGUUCGUCCCGCCGGCUGGGUCAUUGACUUUUGCUGUGCUGGUCGUCCAUCCUUGGGUGGAAUCUGUGUGGCAUUAGGUUGUCGCGCAGGGGAUGCCCAUCGUUUACUGUGAAAAAAUUAGAGUGUUCAAAGCAGGCUUAUGCCGUUGAAUAUAUUAGCAUGGAAUAAUGAUAUAGGACCUUGGUACUAUUUUGUUGGUUUGCGCACUGAGGUAAUGAUUAAUAGGGACAGUUGGGGGUAUUCGUAUUCCAUUGUAAGAGGUGAAAUUCUUGGAUUUUUGGAAGACGAACUACUGCGAAAGCAUUUGCCAGGGAUGUUUUCACUGA
rnacentral:rRNA from 1 species